GAGCGAACGCUGGCGGCGUACUUAACACAUGCAAGUCGAACGAGGAGCUUCGGUGUAGCAAUACAUCGGAGCUUCUAGUGGCGAACGGGUGAGUAACACGUGGGGAACCUGUCCUCCAGUCGGGGAUACCCGCUCGAAAGGGCGGCUAAUACCGGAUGCGUUCUCGAGGUCGCAAGAUCUUGAGAGGAAAGGCGGCGAAAGCUGUCGCUGGUGGAGGGCCUUGCGGCCUAUCAGCUAGUUGGUGAGGUAAUGGCUCACCAAGGCUAUGACGGGUAGCUGGUCUGAGAGGACGACCAGCCACACGGGGACUGAGACACGGCCCCGACUCCUACGGGAGGCAGCAGUGGGGAAUUUUCCGCAAUGGGCGAAAGCCUGACGGAGUGACGCCGCGUGGGGGACGAAGGCCUUCGGGUUGUAAACCCCUGUCAGAGGGAAAGAAGGGCCGCUGGGUCAAUACCCUGGUGGUCUGACGGUACCUUCAGAGGAAGCCCCGGCCAACUCUGUGCCAGCAGCCGCGGUAAGACAGAGGGGGCAAGCGUUGCUCGGAAUCACUGGGCGUAAAGGGCGCGUAGGCGGGUCCGCAAGUCGAUCGUGAAAUCCUUCGGCUCAACUGAAGGGGGUCGGUCGAUACUGCGGGUCUUGAGGGAUGCAGAGGAGACUGGAAUUCCCGGUGUAGCGGUGAAAUGUGUAGAGAUCGGGAGGAACACCGGUGGCGAAGGCGGGUCUCUGGGCAUCUCCUGACGCUGAGGCGCGAAAGCGUGGGGAGCAAACGGGAUUAGAUACCCCGGUAGUCCACGCGGUAAACGAUGACGACUAGGUGUGGGGGGGUUUAGGCCUUUCCGUGCCGCAGCUAACGCAUUAAGUCGUCCGCCUGGGGAGCACGGCCCCAAGGUUG
rnacentral:rRNA from 1 species